ensembl:lncRNA
GCAGACACAGAUCUAGGUUCAGUACUGACUCAGAGCAUCAGUGAACUUCCAAGGCCUCAUCCCAAUAGUCGAUUCCAUUCCUUUCCCGGGAAACUGAGGGGCAGGGCAGUCCUGAGUCUAUGCCAAGAGUGAGUUGACCAAUGGUCAUGUGGUUGGGUUCCAGAACCUUGGAGAAAUUCCUAGAAGGAGCCAGGUCUCCUUGGUGCUCCCCAUGGCCAAAGGUGACCAGGGGCUGAGACACCCAGGGAAGUAGCCACAAAGGUGGUCCAGAGGACGGGACCAGGAGACCAGGGCAGGAGGACGUGCCAUGCAGCCUUGGUGAACUGUUCCCAGUGGGGACACUAAGGCUUGCACCGCAUAAGAUGCCUGAAAAUUCAGAUGGAGAAAUCGUGGUAAAGAGAGAAGGACAUUGCCAAGAAACACAAUGAAUGGGAAGCAGUUUGAUGGAGUUUAUUGGAUGAAGGAGCUGCCAUCUGAGCAAUCACGCCACAUGAGUGAUGCUAAUGAGAUGGGUGAAAUAUUCAAGAGCCCAAGACUGUCCCCAAGAAGCCACUGCAGCCCUUCCAAGGCUGUGCUGGGCAUGCUCAUGGAUUAUUCUUCAGCUCCAAGAAUAGACUCUGUAAAUAGUAUUUCUUAUAAUGAUGAUGAUUAUUAUUUAUAGCUUGCCCCAGCCUCCCAGGCAAAUGUCCCAGGAAGAACAAAAAGACGCUUAGUAUAAUUAAA